rnacentral:rRNA from 1 species
UACGAAGGGGGCUAGCGUUGUUCGGAUUUACUGGGCGUAAAGCGCACGUAGGCGGAUCGAUCAGUCAGGGGGUGAAAUCCCAGGGCUCAACCCUGGAACUGCCUUUGAUACUGUCGAUCUGGAGUAUGGAAGAGGUGAGUGGAAUUCCGAGUGUAGAGGUGAAAUUCGUAGAUAUUCGGAGGAACACCAGUGGCGAAGGCGGCUCACUGGGCCAUUACUGACACUGAGAGACGAAAGCUAGGGGAGCAAAAUGGG